UAGGGAAUAUUGGACAAUCGGGGCAACCCUGAUCCAGCCAUGCCGCGUGAGUGAAGAAGGCCCUCGGGUUGUAAAGCUCUUUUGUCCGGAAAGAAAAGCUUCGGGUUAAUACCCCGGGGUUCUGACGGUACCGGAAGAAUAAGCACCGGCUAACUUCGUGCCAGCAGCCGCGGUAAUACGAAGGGUGCAAGCGUUACUCGGAAUUACUGGGCGUAAAGCGUGCGUAGGUGGUUGUUUAAGUCUGAUGUGAAAGCCCUGGGCUCAACCUGGGAAUGGCAUUGGAAACUGGGCAGCUAGAGUGCGGUAGAGGGUAGUGGAAUUCCCGGUGUAGCAGUGAAAUGCGUAGAGAUCGGGAGGAACAUCUGUGGCGAAGGCGACUGCCUGGACCAGCACUGACACUGAGGCACGAAAGCGUGGGGAGCAAACA
rnacentral:rRNA from 1 species